CUUUUCUCUCUCCCUCUUCCUCGACAGAACAUUUCCCCUCCCCCCAUUUUUUUUGUUGUUUUUUUUUCUUCCUUCCCUUCUCUUUGAUUCUUUUCUCUUUAAUACCCAAACCAUCAACCAUUAACAAAUGAACUUAACAUCCUCACAACCAUUGAAAAAUGCUCUUGGUUAGGAUUUUUGAGUUAGGGUUUGUGCUCUAGAGAAAAGGGUAUCCAUCUCAUGAGAUUUGAUGACUGAAACUCUUUGAGGUAAGUACACAACUCUAAUCCUAGUAUGAAUUCAUAAAAAAAUGUAGUUUUGUUUAAAAAUCUUAUUUUUGUGCUUAUGGUAUAUUUAAACGAUUUUUAGGGUUUCCUAGAGUUAGCUAAACUUUAGAAUAAAUUUUUCUAAAGUAUUGGAAAUAUUUUUGAUACUCAGAUGUGUCAACUGAGACCUUGUCGGCUACUCUGAGAGUUGUUAGAGAGCAAACUUAGACGAUUCUCCAUAACUGUGAGUUGACGACGAUCAUCGUCAUAUAUUUUUAUAUAAUGCUAUUAUUAUUAUUUUACUUGUUUUCUAUAUUAAAGUAUUUAUUGAAAAAUUUGGGAAACACAACCUUUGAAUUUUAUCUCGAUUUCGUCAAUUAUUUAAUUUAACUGCCGUUGUUAUAUAAUAUGUUAUUAGACUUACGUAUGAGUUAAAGUAUUUAAAUCUUGAAUAGUUACGCGAUUGAGUAUGUUUUUCAUGAAUUACGAUGAAAUGAUUUUAAAUACGUAUUUUGAGAAAUCGUUGUUAUAAUUAUUAAAUCGUUAACUGUGUUAGGUGCACCUAAUUACCUCGUUGUGAUUAGGGAGAGUUACCCGUUAGAUGGAGCCGCCUCUAUGAGAAAUAUGGUCCGUAGGAGGAAAGGGCUAUCAACGAGAUGUAAGCUCCCUGAUUGAUAUUUAAUGAUGCGUUGCGGGAAAUGGGAGGAGAGGGCCAUCCAUUAGAUGGAGCCGCCCCUAAGGGAAAGGCCACCCUUAGGAGGAAAGGGCUAUCAAUGAGAUAAAGCCGCCUCUUGGUUCUAAAAAUUUGUAUUAUUACUUGUUUGAUUUUUAUAAUGAUUUUAAGGUUGUUCAUUUUGAUUUUGUUUCGUUAUUCACUGAAUUUUUAAUAUUUAUGUCAAGCGAUUAAACAGUUAUUUGUGCCUUUUGUGUUUCCCUUCUAAUUGAUGGUGGUUGUUGUCUCCUCACCAAGUCUUUGUGACUUACCCCUUUAUGUUGCUUAUUUUUUCAGAUUCGCAAGCAGUUGAGUAGGAAUCUAUUAUUUGAUUCAAGUCUCAACAUACUUUUUUUUUUGGUAGGCCUCUUUGAUCGAGGACCAUUUUUGUAACAUUUGUUGAGUCUAUGUAAUUGCUGCUAUUUUGGAGUCUAGAAAGUCUAUUUAGUUUUUUUUUUUUGAGAAAUGUAUUAAGCAAUUUGAUUAUGUUAUUUGAAUUAUGACGGGAUUGAAAGCUGAACAUGGAUUUUACAAAAUUUGGG
rnacentral:lncRNA from 1 species